AGAGGAACAGAAAAGGAAGAAUGGAG
rnacentral:piRNA from 1 species